CGUGGGCAAUCUGCCCUGCACUCUGGGACAAGCCCUGGAAACGGGGUCUAAUACCGGAUAUGACCUUCCUCCGCAUGGGGGUUGGUGGAAAGCUCCGGCGGUGCAGGAUGAGCCCGCGGCCUAUCAGCUUGUUGGUGGGGUAAUGGCCUACCAAGGCGACGACGGGUAGCCGGCCUGAGAGGGCGACCGGCCACACUGGGACUGAGACACGGCCCAGACUCCUACGGGAGGCAGCAGUGGGGAAUAUUGCACAAUGGGCGAAAGCCUGAUGCAGCGACGCCGCGUGAGGGAUGACGGCCUUCGGGUUGUAAACCUCUUUCAGCAGGGAAGAAGCGCAAGUGACGGUACCUGCAGAAGAAGCACCGGCUAACUACGUGCCAGCAGCCGCGGUAAUACGUAGGGUGCGAGCGUUGUCCGGAAUUAUUGGGCGUAAAGCUCGUAGGCGGCCUGUCGCGUCGGAUGUGAAA
rnacentral:rRNA from 1 species